rnacentral:rRNA from 1 species
GACAGAGGAUGCAAGCGUUGUCCGGAAUUAUUGGGCGUAAAGAGCGCGCAGGCGGUCUGCCAAGUCAGAUGUGAAAGAGGCCGGCUUAACCGGCAAGGGUCAUUUGAAACUGACAGACUAGAGUGCAGCAGAGGAUAGCGGAAUUCCCGGUGUAGUGGUGAAAUGCGUAGAUAUCGGGAGGAACACCUGUGGCGAAAGCGGCGCACUGGACCACAACUGACGCUGAUGCGCGAAAGCUAGGGGAGCAAACAGG